AUGCAAGAAGAGUCUGUGCAUCAGCACCCCAGAUACCUUUCAAUCCUGAAGAUGGGGGAGGUAACCUGGAUUAAAUUGAGGUCACUCAGCAUGGUGGGCAUCUUAUUUUUACAUGCAAGCAGAUGUCUUUCCAUGGGAAAUCUGCUCCCACUCCACGUCAAUGCUGCAAUUGACAGGGGCAAUGCUGAUCGUUGCCAAGAAUGUUCCCAGGAAUGGAUCUGUGACCCUGGCCUAGCCCAUCAUCCUACCCCAUGCUCUUGGCCGGCGUGCUUGACCCAGAGAUGACCACGUCACCCAAGCACAACCAAGCAGAGUUACCCCAUGAGCAUUUUAUAUGUGGAAGGAGAAGAGAAGGGACCCUGCCUUUGCCUCCAGAGUUGGGCACCUGGGCGGCCAGGAGUCAUGGCCAACUAGUGGCAGCUUUCUUUCAUAGCAGGGUUAGAGCAUGAUGCCAAGAUGAGGAAGCUUGGACAAGAAACAGAGAGAUGGAGAUGAUAACAUUCUUACGACGUCUCUGCCCACUGAGCCCCUCCAUACCACUCAUACACGAGGACGUGGCCAAAGGGAGCCCGUUGCGAAAGGCACGGUCUCAUUAGUGCAGUCUUUGGACCUCUCAACCUCACAAGGACCAGCCAAGGGUCCAAAACACUUCCUUCCCAAGACACAAGAGUCCUCACAGCCUGUGCUGGGCUCAUCUCCUUGAGCAGGAAUAUCUUCCUGUUUCAGACUCAGUGAGCAUCCUUUGUUCUGCUGGUAUGCGUCACAUGGCAUGUGGCCCACCCCACUGCUCUGCAGGGGAGAGGACAGGGUCCUUCUGCUGAAAACAAGAGGGCUGUGCACAGGCCAACAGCCCUGUGUCGCCCUCUGGCAGGGACCUGCCCGACGCUGAUCUUGCUGUCUCUUCUCUAUGCAAGGAAAGCGUGCUCCAUCCAGUCCUUGACUGCACUGUGGUUUUCCUUAGCCACUCUGAUCGUAAGGUGCAGGGCGCUUCUCCCCCUGGUGACAGGGAACAGAUGCCACUUGCUCCACAUCCCAUUAAUAUUUCAAGUAGGUCAAGUUGGGUUUCUGCUCCCGGCAACCCAAAUCCCUGGAGUAACAGGGUUGUAGUUUGCUUUCAAUAGGAAACAGCAAAAGGAUGGAGGGGCAAAUAAAUUACCAUGAAAUGAACA
rnacentral:lncRNA from 1 species